rnacentral:lncRNA from 1 species
GGCUCCGCGCGCCUGCCAGGCCGGGGCCGGCGGCGGAACAGCUUGGGACCCGAAACGCCUCGGCUUUUCUGCGGACCCGCGCCCGGCCGCUGCCGCCGGACGCUUGAAAAGAGGCAGAGUCUUGCUUUGUUGUCCAGGCUGGUCUUGAACUUCUGAGCUCAAGUGAUCCUCCCGCCUUGGCCUCCCAAAGUGCUGAGACUACAGAGAGAGAAUGCUAACGAGCUGUGAAAUGACCAAAGAUCUGGCAGCAGAAGGGAAAAGAAAAAAUAAUGGAAUAUUUUCUGUCUACAAUUGGUUGAAUCUGUGGAUGUGGAAACUGCAGAUACAGAUGGAGAGCCGACUAUACUAGCUUUUUGUUUCAUUUUUCACUUCUGGUGUGUGUGUGUGUGUGUGUGUGUGUGUGUGUGUGUGUGUAUCUGUGUGUGUGUUUUAUUAAUCUCUGUGCCUGCAUGUUAGUUUCUUCCUCUUUAUUUGGAUUUUCACUAACAUUCUUUUCAGCUUCUUCAGUUGGAUACUUGUUGCCAAUAUAUUUUUUUUCAUUCUAAGAAUUAAAUAAAUGGGCCAGGCGUGGUGGCUCAUGCCUGUAAUCCCAGCACUUUGGGAGGCCAAGAUGGGUGGAUCACAAGGUCAGGUGUUUGAGACCAGCUUGGCCAAAGCUGGUGAAACUCCAUCUCUACUAAAAAUACAAAAAUUAGCUGGGCAUGGUGGUGCGCGUCUAUAAUCCCAGCUACUCAGGAAGCUGAGGCAGGAGAAUCACUUGCACCCAAGAAGUGGAGGUUGCAGUGAGCCAAGAUUGCGCCAUUGCACCCCAGCCUGGGCAACACAGCGAGACUCCAUCUGAAAAAAAAAAAAAAGAAUAAAUGAAUGUAUUAAUCACCAAACUGCUCUUCAUCAGAAACUCUUAGCAGUGUCUCACUCUGUUCACCAGGCUGGAGUGCAAUGGUGUGAUCAUGACUCACUGAAGCCUUGACCUCCUGGGCUGAAGCAAUCUUCCUGCCUCAGCCCUGCAAGUAGCUGGGCCUACGGGCACACGCCGCCAUGCCUAGCUAAUUUUUGUAUUUUUUGUAGAAACAGGGUUUCACAUGUUGCCCAGACUAGUCAUGACCUCCUUAGCUCAAGUGAGCCACCUGUCUCAGCCUCCCAAAGUGCUGGGAUUUCAGGUGUGAGCCACCAUGGUUGGCCCCUAAUACACAUCUUUUUUUUUUUUUUCUUUUUUUUUUGAGAUGGAUUCUCACUCUGUCUCUCAGGCUGGAGUGCAGUGGCACGAUCUUGGCUCACUGCAGCCUCUGCCUCCCAGGUUGAAGCGAUUCUCCUGCCUCAGCCUCCCGAGUAGCUGGAUUACAGGCGCUUGCCACCACGCUCUGCUAAUUUUUGUAUUUUUAGUAAAGAUGGGUUUUGCCAUGUUGGCCAGGCUGGUCUUGAACUUCUGGUCUCAAGUGAUCCGCCCUCCUCAGCCUCCCAAAGUGCUGGGAUUACAGGUGUGAGCCACUGCGUCAGGCCAAUACACAUCUUCUAGUUUAUUUAAAGUGCUAGAUAGUAUUUCAUUGUAUAAAAAGACCACAGUUUAUUCAUUCUUUUGUUGAUAGAUCUUUAAAUUGUUUCCAUUAUUUUUCCCUUACAAACAAUGCAUGAUAAAUGUUUUUGUAUGUGUCUCCUUGUGAGAGUUAUAUAUCUAGGUGUGACAUCACUGGGUUCUAUCACAAGUCUUUGGAAGUAAUUUUUAUGUGGAUAGUGCAACAAUAUGACUAGUUACUUAAAAGAAAAAAAUUAAGUCAAGAUAAGUGGCGGAAGACACAGAAAUUCAGAAAUAGGAUGUAAAAUAGUAAUGGAAUAGUAGGUAAAUUAGAUACAUAAUCCUAUGCCUUUUUUUUUCUUUUUGAGACGGAGUCUCGCACUGUCGCCAAGGCUGGAGUGCAGUGGCGCCAUCUCGGCUCACUGCAAGCUCUGCCUCCGGGGUUCACACCAUUCUCCUGCCUCAGCCUCCCGAAUAGCUGGGACUGUAGGCGCCCGCCACAUGCCCGGCUAAUUUUUUGUAUUUUUACUAGAGGCAGGGUUUCACGGUGUUAGCCAGGAUGGUUUCAAUGUCCUGACCUUGUCAUCCGUCCGCCUCAGCCUCGCAAAAUGCUGGUAUUACAGGCAUGAGCCACUCCGCCUGGCGACAAUCCUAUGCUUUUUUAAAAAGGUAGUUCAUCUUUUGGCUGGGCAUGGUGGCUCAUGUCUGUAAUCCCAGCACUUUGGGAGGCUGAGGCAGGAGGAUCACUUGAGGUCAAGAGUUUGAGACCAGCCUGACCAACAUGGUGAAACCCUGUCUCUACUAAAGGUACAAAAAUUAGCUGGGUGUGGUGGUGCACACCUGUAAUCCCAGCCACUUGGGAGACUGAGGCAGGAGAAUCACGUGAACAUGGGAGGCGGAGGUUGCGGUGAGCUGAGAUCACGCCAUUGUACGCCAGCUUGGGCAACAGAGCAAGACUCCAGCUCAAAAAAAAAAAAAAAAGGGAAACAUUAAUGAAAAGGUAAUUCAUCUUUUGAAAAAAAAAGUAGAGUGAACAUACUGAACAUCACAGAUUUUCAUCUACAUUUAAGAUGCUAGCUUUAGGCUGGGCGAGGUGGCUCAUGCCUGUAAUCCCAGCACUUUGGGAGGCCAAGGUGGGUGGAUCACCUGAGAUCAGGAAUUCGAGACCAGCUUGACCAAUAUGGUAAAACCCUAUCUCUACUAAAAAUACAAAAAUUAGCUGGCAUGGUGGCGUGCACCUGUAGUCCCAGCUACUUAGGAGGCUGAGACAGGAGAAUUGUUUGAACCUGGGAGGCGGAGGUUGCAGUGAGCUGAGAUUGGGUCACUGCACUCCAGCCUGGGCAAGAGAGUGAAACGCUGCCUCACAAAAAAAAAAAAAAAAAAAAAAAAAGAUGCUACCUUUAGUGUCACUGCUUCUGUGAAGCCUUCCAAAAAUUGCCUUUUUUUCAAUUACUUUCUCCUUUUGACCUCCAUUCUCUCUACCUCUGUUAUAUGAUAUUGUGCAUUAUAUUUGCUGUGGUUUGUUUAUAUCUCUCUCAGCAGGCUGAAUGUGUUUUGAAGGUGGAGUUCAUGUCUUAUUCGUAUCCCCAGGGUGUGGUGUGCAGUUGGUGGUUAAGUCUGAGGAAUGAAUGAAUGGCCCAAAUCACCGAAGAUCUUUCAGAGGUGGCAGUGGGGUUUCUUUUUUUCUUUUCGAGAUGGAGUCUUACUCUGUCAUCCAGGCUGGAGUGCAGUGGCACAAUCUCAGCUCACCGCAACCUCUGCCACCCAGGUUCAAGUGAUUCUCCUGCCUCAGCCUCCCGAGUAGCUGGGAUUGCAGGCACGCACCACCACGUCUGGCUAAUUUUUUUAUUUUUGGUAGAGAUGGGGUUUCACCAUGUUGGCCAGGCUAGUCUUGAACUCCUGACCUCAAGUGAACUACCUGCCUCAGCCUCCCAAAGUGCUGGGAUUACAGGCGUGAGCCACUGUGCCCACUGGCAGUGGGUUUCUGAUGAUAGGAUAGUUUCAUGAAAGUUAGCUUAAAGUACAAAAAACUUUUUUUUUUUCUUUUUUUGAGACAGUCUCAUGCUCUGUCCUCCAGGCUGGAGUUCAGUGAUCUUGGCUUACUGCAACCUCUGCCUCCUGGGUUCACGCCAUUCUCCUGCCUCAGCCUCCUGAGUGGCUGGGACUACAGGUGUGCACCACCACGCCUGGCUAAUUUUUUGUAUUUUUAGUAGAGACAGGGUUUCACCAUGUUAGCCAGGAUGGCCUCGAUCUCCUGACCUCGUGAUCUGCCCGCCUCGGCCUCCCAAAGUGCUGGGAUUACAGGCAUGAGCCACCGUGCCCAGUGAAAAAGCUUUGAUCCUUUGUCUUCAAUUGCACCUAUGAAAAGGAAGUUUCGUAUAAAAGCUGAUAUAAAUGGCUAAUAAAGCAGAGAAAUAGCUUAAAAUUUGACUGUAGACAUUUGCUAUGUAUGAUUAAUAUGUAUCAGUUUACAGUUAAUUUUAGGAAAACUUAAAUUUUAUAAAUUGCCAAGAAAUCACCCAUGAAAAACUAAUUUUCACUUAGCGGUUUAAUUUUUUAACAUUAGGAUUUUUAAGUUUCGCUAGUCUUAUCAUCUGGGACACUGGAAUUUUGUCUUGUUGGAAUUGCUGAUUAAACAAAAUAAUUCUUCAAAAGUGCUUAGCACAAUGUUAGGUAAAUAGUAAGCACUAAGUAAACAUUGGCUUUAUUAUUAUUAGGUGGUCCUAUACUAUGAUUCCUCCUAUUUAUAUCACGUGUGUCUUGCUGCAUAUUUAAGGACGCUCCCAUCUAUAUGUUUGGACUAGUGCAAUAGUAAAGCUGCCAGCUCAGGUGAAGAAAACCAUUUAAAAAUUUAAAGUUAAGCACAUGAUGGAAAAUUCUUGAAUAUGUGGUGAGUUAGGUAUAAAAAAUAUAGGGGGAUUGUAUUGUUGAAUACAAAAAAGCCAUUAGACUAUUUUAAGAAUGCUCUCUUCUGUCAUUAGGGCUUGGUUAUGAAUAGUAUAUCACAUGCAUGAAAGGAGGUGGUGGCUAGUUUCAUUUCCCUAAAACAUGUUUCAAUGGUAAAUUAGAGGCAGCUGUGGUUUACUGACGCAUAAACCCAGUGAGGUCUAUGAUAACUAGUAUAUAUUUACAGUUUGACUCAUGGUGCCUGUCAGGCUUUAAUCAUAGGGGAAGAAGUGAUAGUACUUAGACUUCACUGUUUAAUCUUCCGUUCAUUUGUUUUCCAAGUUUGUUUCAGUCUGUGGGCAGGUUCCCUUUUGAUUGCAACAUGCAGUCCCUAUUUCUGCAGUUUAUCUUCAUUUGCCAUUUUGAGAGGGCUAUGAAAGUCCUAUGAUAAGCUCCUUGUUCUCCAAAUCCAUGCAUAUAAGUCUCAUCGAGUUGGAUGCAUUCUAAAGACAUUUUGAAAUCACAUCAACACUUUCAGAUCAGCAAGUUAUUUCUUAAUAAAUUACUGUCUUAAUGUUAGAUGCUAUUUUAAAAACACGAAAGAGAGCAGUUUCCAAAUAUGUGUUACUACUUCCAGGGAAUUGUAAACUGGAGUGUUUAAUUAAAAGAAGGCCCUAAAUUUUUAUUAUGCUGUCACUGGAUAUUUGAAUAACUAGCUGUAAAUGAGUUCUAGUUGUACAAAAGUGAUUUUCUAAAUCCAGUUGUCCCUAUUUCAAAAUAUAGUUCUAGUUCCUGGGUGAAACUGAAAAUGAAAUGGCCAUGUCUUUAUAACUAAAACAAAUUAGAGGGUUGCAGCAAUAAAAUGAACCCACAGAGGGGAAAAAAACCCUUUGAAUCAGGUUUUUAUUUUCUUCUCCUGAACUGAUUGGGUAAUUUACUCAACUAAUUUUGUCUAGUCAUUAGGAAGUUAAUACUCCAUUCUAUAAUUUCCUUCCACUCAAGUGAGCAAUACUGGUGCAUAUAAUUUGGAUUAAGAACAUUCCUCUACUCUUACAAAUAUUUGGAUAUAUGCCUUGAAUAUGCUUCCUCAUUUAGGCCACAGAAAUUUAUUCAAAGACAAAUCAAUCAAAGAUAAUAACAUUAACUACUAUUUAUUAAGCAUCUCCUUCAUGACAAGACUUUUUCCCAUAUUGAGAUAUAAUUGACAAUUGAAAAUUGUACAUAUUUAAAGUGUACAACAUGAUGAUUUGAUAUGCAUAUAUAUCCAUGCAUAUAUAUCCAUAUCCAUAUCCAUGCAUAUAUAUGGAUAUAUAUGCAUAUAUAUGCAUAUCAAAUCAUGUCGUACACUUUAAAUAUGUACAUAUUUCAAUUAUGCAUAUAUAUGCAUAUAUCCAUAUCAAAUCAUAUAUAUAUAAUAUGCAUAUAUAUCAUAUACAUAUCCAUCACCUCACAUAGUUACCAUUUUCUUUUGUUCUCUCUCUCUUUCUUCCUUCCUUUCUUUCCCUUCUUUUUUAUUUUUUGGUGGUGAGAACACUUAAGAUCCACCCUCUUAGCAAAUUUCAAGUAUAUAAUAUAGUGUUGCUAAUUGUAGUCACAUCGUUGUAGAAUACAUCUCCAGAAUUCAUUCAUUUGGAUAACUGAAACUCUGUAACCCUUUUCCAAUAUCUCCCCAUUCCUCUAUCCCUCCAGCUCAUGGCAACCAACAUUCCACUCUCUGCUGUUCUAAGUUUGACUACUUUAGUUUUUACAUAUAAGUGAAAUCAACACAGUAUUUGUUUUUCUGUGUCUCGCUUAGUUUACUUAGCUUAAUGUUCUUCAGGUUCAUUCAUGUUGUAAAUGACAGGAUUUCCUUUUGUUUUGAAGGCUGCAUAAUAUUCUGUUGUAUAUGUAUACCAUAUUUUCUUCAUCCAUUCAUCUGUUGAUGGACAUUUAGGUUGUUUUCAUAUCUUGGCUAUCAUGAAUAAUGCUGCAAUGAACGUAAGAGUAGAGAUAUCUCUUAGAAAUCCUGAUUUUCCUUUUUUUUUUCAGACAGUCUUGUCACCCAGGCUGAAGUGCAGUGGCAUGAUCUCGGCUCACUGCAACCUCCGCUUCUUGGGUUCAAGUGAUUCUCCUGCCUCAACCUCUGGAGUAACUGGGAUUAUAGGCAUAUGUCACCAUGCCCGGCUAAUUUUCUUAUUUUUAAUAGAGAUGGGGUUUCAUCAUGUUGGCCAGGCUGGUCUGGAACUCCUGACCUCAGGUGAUCUGCCCGCCUCGGCCUCCCACAGUGCUGGGAUUACAGGUGUGAGCCACCGUGCCUGGCCUAUUUGAUCAUCUUUUACAGCUUAGGGAAUUAAGGUUUAGAUGUGGCACAGGACAGAAACAUACUUUGAAGAUAGGUCUGUUUGACUUCAAAACCUGUGCUCUUUGCCAGGUGCAGUGGCUCACGCCUGUAAUCACAGCACUUUGCAAGGCCAAGGCAGGAGGAUCACUUGAGGUCAGGAGUUUGAGACCAGCCUGGCCAAUAUGGCAAAACCCUGUUUCUAUUAAAAAUGCAAAUAUUAGCCAGUCAUGGUGGUGUGCUCCUGUAAUCCCAGCUACUUGGGAGGCUGAGGCACGAGAAUCACCUGAAUCCCGGAGGUGGAGGUUGCAGUGAGCUGAGAUCGUGCCACUGCACUCCAGCCUGGGUGACAGAGUGAUAGUCUAUCUCAAAAAAAAAAAAAAAAACAAAAAACAAAAAACCCCCACAAAACCCACAAAACCAAACCAAAAAACCUGUGCUCCUUACUGUGCUCUCCUGCCUCUCAGUGCGAGAUAAACAGAGUGGGCAAAAUAGCCUAUGAUGUCAUCAUCCGCAAGGCCUGUUGCUACUGUGUGAUGCCUGCUCCCUAGAUGACCUCCUGGGGGGGUGAAGCGAGAGGAAAUCUGGCACCAAGCUGGUUGAGGGGCAGAGCGAGAAUGUCUGGGCUUCCCCCACCCAGCUUGGAAUGUGAGUGAUGCAAAUCAUCUCAUCGAAGGCUCAACUGCAGCCAGGAGACUCCUCCAGUGAUGAUGAGAGUGUACAAAUGAAGUGCAGGAGCGGGGGAGCCUUCACACACCUCCAGCCCUUCCUGCUUCUUGAAAUACUCAUAUCCUCUGGCAGAGACUAGCUACAGAAAUCCAUGUCCACUUACUCACAGCCUGAAAGAAACCCACACAGUGGACCAGGAAGGUUGUUGCAUGGUAAUUAGAGCUACUAUUGAAUUUCUAUUGUGCAUCUUCUCAAUUAGGCACAAUUACCACAUAUAAGAAAUGAGGAAAUUAAGACUCAGAGGAAUUAGGUGAAUUGCCCAAGGUUAUUACAUAGCUUAUACCUGGCCAACCAGGGUUUAAACAUUGUUCUAUAUCCUAAUCCAAGACCCAUGUUCCUCUCACUACUCAGGUUUAUUUCUUUCGCACAGGGAUAUUACAAAGUCAUUAUAUUUCCUGAUUAUAUUUUUGCUGCUGCUGUAUGACCAUCUCGUUUCUUGUCACUGACUUUAUCCAAAAGCAAGAACAUGGUAUGGAAUUUUGGGGGAAGCAGUUGAAAUGAAGUGUUGGAAUUUCAGAGCUUGCAUUACUGGAUUAUGUGUGGAUUGUUGUUUGUACUGCCUCUUUCUUCCUCCUGCUACCUCAUAUAGGUGCUUGAUAUCUGAUUAUUACAGUCUUUUUAGGGGUUCUUGAACAUACUCACUUGUAGAAAAGUGCUGGUUAAAAUCAUAACAGGCAGACAUUUGGGUUCUUAUAGCCUUGCAAUAAAUGGAAGGAAGUAACUUUUGGGCUUAUGAAAAUGUAUACUGCAAGGUUUUUCUUUCUUUCUUUCUUUCUUUCUUUCUUUCUUUCUUUCUUUCUUUCUUUCUUUCUUUUUCUUCCUUCCUUCCUUCUUCCUUCCUUCCUUUCUUCCUUUCUUCCUUCCUUCCUUCCUUUCUUCCUUUCUUCCCUUCUUUCUUUCUUUCUUGAGACAGGGUCUCGCUCCAUCACCCAGGCUGGAGUGCUCACUGCAAGGAUCCUCCUGCCUCAGCCUCCCAAGUAGCUAGGACUACAGGCAUAGCCACCAUGCCUGGCUAACUUUUCUUAUUUUUUGUUUUAUGUAGAGACAGUAUCUUGCUGUGUUGCCUAGGCUGGUCUCAAACUCCUGGCUUCAAGGGAUGCCCCCACCUUGGUCUUCCAAAAUUCUGAGAUUAUAGGCACGACCCACCAUGCCCAGUGGUUUUCUUAAAGUUCUCUGCAAGGUGUAGAUAGUUUCAUGAGUAAGAUGAUUAGUCAGUACAGUAGCAACAUUAGGUAAUUGGUUUUGCCAUUUCGAGCUUGUAGCAAAUUAUCCAUUCUUAUAUGACAAAGCCUAUGGGACAACUGGAGGACUUGAACUGUUUCUCUUCAGUGCCCGUAAAGAAGGGACUGAAGCUUCAUAAAUCUAGUCCUUCACUCUCCUAGCUCUGAUCCUGUCCUUUCUGUAAGUAAUGAUCAUAUUGCCUUCAGUAGGUGUUUGUCAAGUCUGUAUUUUGUUUUAGAGACAGGAGCUCGCUUUGCUGCCCAGGCUGGACUCGAACUCCUGGGCUCACUUUAUCCUCCUGCCUCAGCCUCUCUGAGUAGCUGGGACUACAAGCACUGCCAUGGAGACCAAUUUGUCAAGCAUUUUAAUACCAUCUCAUCACUGUAAUGAUCAACACAUGUGAUCUAAAAAUCUUUUACAUGGCAGUGGAAAGGGCUUGAGCCAUCUCCGUAUUAAAACCCAGGUGGUAUCCUCAUCCUUUAAUCUUGAAAUGUUGAAAGAGUUGAUUAGCUGUCCUUGCUAGCUAUCUCUAGGAAGGAUAGCUAAUAACUGUUUUGCUUUUGCUUUUGUGUGUGUGUGUGUAUAUAUAUUUAUAUGUAUAUAUGUGUGUAUAUAUAUACAAAAGCAAAAGCAAGACAGUAUUUGAAAUUUGAAGACAUUGAUUCUCAUAACCAGUCUAUUUCAGGAUUAAAUCACAUAACCACCAAUCUCUGCCAACCCACUUUCCAGUAACCACCCCACCUCCAAUUUCCUGUAAAUAGCAAACACUCUGUAGUAUUUCAUCUACAGGGAGCACUGUUGAGUAGCUGGAGUAGUAACAGUAUUUGCUUAUUUUUUUACUUGAGAAGGCUUUUUGUUUGUUUUGAGAUUGGUGUGUGUUGGGGGGGUCUCACUAUGUUGCCCAAGCUGGAUUUGAACCUCUGAGCUCAAACCUCCUGCCUCAGCCUCUUGAGUAACUGGGACUACAGAUGCGUCACCACGUCUGGCUACUUGAGAAGUUUUACAAUUUUUAUGUUUUAAAAGCAGGAAAAGAAAAAAAUCUAGGACUUGUCUCUGUCAUAACAUCAUCCAUAAAAAGUGAUUUUAAGAUGAAGAUUUCUCCUAGAGAGAUACAAGCUGGUGGAUCUAGCAUUCAGCUCUCACUUUCAUUCAAUAUAGUUGUCAUUUUAGACCCAAGCUUUCCCUAGAGAUAGUGAUUCCACCAGGGGAAGCAAUAUGUGAAGUUAUUGCAAGAAACUUUUUGUGUGAAAUUGUGACUGCUGCCAGAGAUGUCAUAUGUUUUAGUUAACUUUCUUCCCAGGAACCAAGAAAAUUUCCCAAGCCCCAGAUAAAUACAGCUGGAAUGCUAUUCAGAAGUCAGUAGCAUGGGGCUGAAGAGAGAGACUGAAUUUUACACACUCCAUUUGUUUCUGGUUGAGAUAAACCCUCUGUUCUAUUUUGCUUACGGUAAAAAUCCAAUUCACUUUGAAAGUUGUAAAGCCCAAAGAACUCAAACAAAUUUACAAGAAACAAACAACCCCAUCAACAAGUGGCCGAAGGAUAUGAACAGACACGUCUCAGAAGAAGGCAUUUAUGGAGCCAACAGACACAUGAAAAAAUGCUCAUCAUCACUGGCCAUCAGAGAAAUGCAAAUCAAAACCACAAUGAGAUACCAUCUCACACCAGUUAGAAUGGCGAUCAUUAAUAAGUCAGGAAACAAUAGGUGCUGGAGAGGAUGUGGAGAAAUAGGAACACUUUUACACUGUUGGUGGGACUGUAAACUAGUUCGACCAUUGUGGAAGACAGUGUGGCGAUUCCUCAGGGAUCUAGAACUAGAAAUUCCAUUUGACCCAGCCAUCCCAUUACUGGGUAUAUACCCAAAUGACUAUAAAUCAUGCUGCUAUAAAGACACAUGCACACUCAUGUUUAUUGCAGCACUACUCACAAUAGCAAAGACUUGGAACCAACCCAAAUGUCCAUCAAUGAUAGACUGGAUUAAGAAAAUGUGGCACAUAUACACCAUGGAAUACUAUGCAGCCAUAAAAAAGGAUGAGUUAAUGUCGUUUAUAGGGACACGGAUGAAGUUGGAAACCAUCAUUCUCAGCAAACUAUCGCAAGGACAAACAACCAAACACCGUGUGUUCUCACUCAUAGGUGGGAAUUGAACAAUGAGAACACUUGGGCACAGGAAGGGAAACAUCACACACCGGGGCCUGUUGUGGGGUGGGGGGA